AUUGAACGCUGGCGGAAUGCUUUACACAUGCAAGUCGAACGGCAGCACGGGUGCUUGUACCUGGUGGCGAGUGGCGAACGGGUGAGUAAUACAUCGGAACGUACCCUGACGUGGGGGAUAACGUAGCGAAAGUUACGCUAAUACCGCAUACGUCCUGAGGGAGAAAGCAGGGGAUCGUAAGACCUUGCGCGUUAGGAGCGGCCGAUGGCGGAUUAGCUAGUUGGUAGGGUAAAGGCCUACCAAGGCGACGAUCCGUAGCGGGUCUGAGAGGACGACCCGCCACACUGGAACUGAGACACGGUCCAGACUCCUACGGGAGGCAGCAGUGGGGAAUUUUGGACAAUGGGCGAAAGCCUGAUCCAGCCAUUCCGCGUGCAGGAUGAAGGCCCUCGGGUUGUAAACUGCUUUUGUACAGAACGAAAAGGUUUCUACUAAUACUAGGAGCUCAUGACGGUACUGUAAGAAUAAGCACCGGCUAACUACGUGCCAGCAGCCGCGGUAA
rnacentral:rRNA from 1 species